GGCGCCAUAGCUCAGUUGGCAGAGCGCGGGACUCAUAAGCCCUAGGUCACUGNNCUGGUUCAAGUCCAGUUGGCGCCA
rnacentral:tRNA from 1 species